AUUGAACGCUGGCGGCAGGCUUAACACAUGCAAGUCGAACGAGCGGCGGACAGGUGAGUAAUGUCUGGGAACCUGCCUGAUGGAGGGGGAUAACUACUGGAAACGUUAGCUAAUACCGCAUACCAUCAGAGUUGCCCAGAUGGGAUUAGCUAGUGGGUGGGGUAAAGGCUCACCUAGGCGACGAUCCCUAGCUGGUCUGAGAGGAUGACCAGCCACACUGGAACGGAGAAACGGUCCAGACUCCUACGGGAGGCAGCAGUGGGGAAUAUGGCACAAUGGGCGCAAGCCUGAUGCAGCCAUGCCGCGUGUUUGAAGAAGGCCUUCGGGUUGUAAAGCACUUUCAGCGGGGAGACGUUACUCGCAGAAGAAGCACCGGCUAACUCCGUGCCAGCAGCCGCGGUAAUUC
rnacentral:rRNA from 1 species